rnacentral:misc_RNA from 1 species
GAAAACUGAAAGCGUGUUGGCUUUGUCAAUUGGUGCUGAGGCUUCAGAAUUGAGUUGAAAACGCCUGGCAAGCGCAGCUGCUAGAUUUGAUGCUCAUCUUAAAUUGCUUGUAGAGAAGCCUCUUUCUCUCCGUAAGUUCCAACUUUAAUCUCUUCAAAUACUUAUUUUAAGCCUUUCUCUCGUUAAUUUCUGCGGAAAAAAAGCAAGACUUACCUUUCUUUGUCGUUAUUCCACUAAGAAGAAGGAGGAGAGGAAUAGAUAAAAUGGGUUGCACUUACAGUCCCUUGUUCCUUCAGAGAAGGUGGACAUCUACUUCCGUCACCAUCAGUCCAUCACCAACUAUUCUUAACAGUAGCAAUAAUAAUAGAACCUCCCUUAUGCCAUCAUUGACUCUUUUUCGUCUUUGUCCUAUGUCAAAAACCCUUCAAACUGAUGCUGUGCUUCGCCUCAAGGGAUCACUGGAAACUAGUGCCAGUUGUAAUAAGGAAAUAACAAUUACCAGAAGAAACCCCUUGCCUUUCAAUUUUCCCUUGGAGAGUGGUGGUGGUGGUUGGAAUAAUAACAACAAUAAUGAUAACAAUAAUCCUGUUGAUCCAUGGUGGUGGAAUGAUGGUAGUGACUCUUCAGAGAGUCAUUUUCCCUUUGUCUGGUUCUUAUGUUGCUCUGUGGUUUUCUGGUGUUUUAUCCACUUGCACUUGGCUUCUUCAGCACUUGCAAGAACAACUCUCUCUCCAGAGGAAGAAGAAGUUGUCGAUUUGAAGGUUUGGGAAAUUAAAGGAAGCAAGCGGAUCAGGCUCAUUCCCGAUUUCUUCAAGGCUGAAUUUGUCGUUGCUCCAUCAUCAUCAGGACCAUCACAUGAUGAUAAAUCACCAUCAUGGUUGAGCGCUGGGGGGAAUUUAUGGCUACAAUGUAAAGCUCUCUUCAUUCGCCUUAUGCUUCCUGAAGGAUUUCCCAUCAGCGUUACCCCUGAUUACUUGGAUUACUCACUUUGGCGGGGCAUCCAAGGUGUUGCCAGUCAAAUAAGUGGCGUUCUCGCCACCCAGGCAUUGCUUUAUGCUGUUGGAUUGGGGAAAGGGGCUAUUCCAACUGCAGCUGCCAUCAAUUGGGUCCUCAAGGAUGGAAUUGGGUAUCUCAGCAAAAUCAUCUUGUCCAAAUAUGGGCGCCAUUUUGAUGUCAAUCCUAAAGGAUGGAGGUUGUUUGCUGAUCUUUUGGAAAAUGCUGCCUUUGGAUUGGAGAUUUUGACUCCUGCUUUUCCUCAUCUCUUUGUUUUCAUUGGUGCUGCUGCUGGAGCUGGGCGCUCUGCUGCUGCUCUUAUCCAGGCUGCUACAAGGAGCUGUUUCUAUGCUGGUUUUGCUGCUCAAAGGAACUUUGCUGAGGUAAUUGCAAAGGGUGAAGCUCAAGGAAUGGUGAGCAAGUUUAUAGGCAUCAUGCUUGGUAUAGCACUAGCCAAUUGCAUAGGCUCUUCUACUCCCCUCGCCCUUGCUUCUUUCAGUGUGGUGACAUGGAUCCACAUGUUUUGCAAUCUGAAAUCUUAUCAAUCAAUUCAACUGAGGACCUUAAACCCCUAUCGUGCAAGUUUAGUUUUUAGUGAAUAUCUUCUCAGUGGCCAGGCACCUCCGAUCAAAGAGGUUAAUGAUGAGGAACCACUUUUUCCAACUUUGCCAUUUCUUAAUAUAAAUUCUAUGGACAAAGUGAGUUGCUCUAUUUGAGAGUUUCAAGUUGCUUUUUCUGAUAUAAUUAAUGAUGCUUCAGUCCUGAAAAAUUACAAUUAUGUAGAUUAAGAGUCAUAUUUCUUUUCAUAGUGCAAUGGAUCUCUAUUUCAGCACCCACAGUCAGCUGUACUAUCUUCAGGAGCAAGGGAUGCAGCUGCUGAAAUUGAGAAGCGGUUGCAGCUUGGCUCAAAGCUUAGUGAUAUUGUGAAAAACAAGGACGAAGUGCUUGCACUGUUCAAUCUGUAUAGAGACGAAGGCUACAUUUUGACUGAACACAACAGAAGAUUCUGUGUAAGAGUGCUACCUCAUUAUUUUGAAUCUGAAUUUUUUGCUUGCACUUUCAGAAACAACUGAAGGAGCAGAGUAAUACUAAAGGUUAAUUGGGUUUCUUUUUAUGACCUUUAUGCAAGGUUUGUUUCUUUUUUGUCCCACACUCCUUGAUUCUUUCGUUUUGUCUCAUCCUUAUUUUUUCUUGAUCUCUUUGAUCUUUGUCUGUGAUUUCAGUAAAAAAAGGGCCCAAAUCAUUGCUUCAAAAGGCCAUUUUACCGGUUUUCUUCGCAAUUUUCUUGUUUCCAAGAUCAUUUCUUAAAAUCAAAAUUUAUUUGUGUCCUUGCAAACUUCACUUUUAUGGUCCCCUUCUUCAAAUGAGUAAGAUCCCAUUGAGGUAAAAAAUGAAAUAGAAUGAAAAGCUAUUAAUCUUUUUGGAGGAACUCUCAGUAAUUUGUUUUUGACCUUUUUCUGUGUGUGUGCGUGUAUGGUGUUUCUUAUGAAUGGAGAAGGUGGUGAAUUACCAAAGAAAGCCUGUUGUCAAGUAAAGGAGAUAUGAACACCCAACUUCUGAUUUGCAUGGCAUGCUGGUGUCCAAAGACAAUACUAUCCAUUUAAAACUUAGAAAGCAAAUAAAAAAAGGAAGGAUUGUUGCGACUUUUGUUGCUUUUAUUUGAGAGAGAAGUUUUUAAUGCAAGGCAUUGAGCUUACUAGUGUUUAUUGUCUGUUGUAUGUUUGAAUUAUUGGUUGGGAUCAGGUAGUGCUUAAAGAAAGUUGUUCAGGACAAGACAUGCUCAAGGCACUAUUCCAAGUGAAUUAUUUGUACUGGUUGGAGAGAAAUGCAGGACUUGAAGCAAGUGGUACCUCUGCUGAUUGCAGAGCAGGGGGAAGGCUACAAAUAUCUCUAGCAUACACACAAUGGGAAUUCAGCCAUGUCAAAAGCGACAGUGUAUCAAUGGGUUGGGUUGCUGACGGACUUGUUGCAAGGCCUUUACCAAACAGGAUAUGUCCAGGUAAUGUGGCCUCCUCAAAAGCAAGCUGAGGAGAUGUCAAGGUGAGUUCUAUCGUAAAACAUAAGCGUGAAAACAGGGAAAGGAUUUUUACUUGCUGAUUUGUUGGACUACACUUCCUGCAGCAAAAUGCUAAACAUCACCGAUUCUCAUACAACUGAACACCGAUUCAACCAACUAUGAUUGAAAAGUUUCAAAAGGAUAGGUGAGCAAGGUACUGAACACAGAAGUAUAUUUUUACAAAUUAUAUUCACAUGUCAAUCAUCAAUAGCGAGAGAAGGUCCUUGCAAUGUGACUUUUGGUUAGAUUUAGUAAUUCUAAUACUAUUUUUAUUGCUAAGUGAAAUGUUUUUGAUGCUGUAAUUGAAUUUUGAAAUAAUUACAUGAGUAUAUAGUUCUG